GCAGGAUCCAGCAGAAACUGCCAGGCCUCCACCUAAACAGCAAGAGACAACGGGAUUGACCAGGACCAACUGGAAUGCCAGGAGUUCUCUGCCGUGCCUCUCUCCACGACAUGAAGAUCAGUGAAGAUGAGAGACCAAUGAAGAGUUGUACAGCUGGCUCUGCAGUCCCUCAUUGGCAGAGGUCAGGGUGGGACCCCCAGGCAAAACCUGGAAGCAGGAACUGAAGCAGAGACUGUGCAGGAAUGAGCCUCACUGGCUUACUUCCCAUUCCUUACAAGACCCUGGAGUGGCACCACCUACAACAGGCUGGGCCUCCCCACAUCAAUCAUCAGUCAAGUGAGUAUCCAACAGCCUUGUCUGCAGGCCAGUCUGAUAGAGGCUCCCUCUCCCCAGGUGUCUCUAGUUGUAUCCAUUUGACAAACAGGCAAGCAGCACAUUCCCCUCACUGAGGGUUUUAUGAACUCUGUGAGCCUUGGCUUCUUCAAUGCCGUUCAAGCUGUCACCCUAGUCUCAGGCUCCCAGGGGAGAAGUGUCACCCCAGAUUAGCAGGUUGCCUGUCUCUCACACUCAAAGGCUCACUUGAUCUUGACCCAGAUGUGGGCACUGAGUGUUGAGUGAUUAGUGGGGAGUUUUUUGGGUUGGGGGCAUGUUGGGAGCCGCGCCCACAUUCGCCGUUACAAGAUGGCGCUGACAGCUGUGUUCUAAGUGGUAAACAAAU
rnacentral:lncRNA from 1 species